CUGGGGCAUGUCAAGACUCGGC
rnacentral:miRNA from 1 species